GGGCGGUUAGCUCAGUCGGUAGAGCGCCACGUUUACACCGUGGAUGUCGGCGGUUCGAGCCCGUCACCGCCCACCA
rnacentral:tRNA from 2 species